GCGGAAGUAGUUCAGUGGUAGAACACUACCUUGCCAAGGUAGGGGUCGCGGGUUCGAAUCCCGUCUUCCGCU
rnacentral:tRNA from 3 species